CUGAUCUGUGUCUCUCUUCCCUCAGGGAAGAAAAAGGAGGCUUCCACGCCCAACAAGCAAAACAAGGACUCUGCACAAGAUGACGCAGAACCAGCAGACUUAACCACGAACCCUGAAAACAAAAAGAAAAAGAGAAAGAAGAGGAAGAAGAAGAAGAAAGCAGCUGGCGAGGGGAACGCUGAGAAGUCUGAACAGGAACAGAUUGUGGAUCAAAGUUUGGUCAAAGAGGCCGAAACAGAGACACAAAGCUCCGUCUCAUCUGUAAAAGUCACAGAGGACGCCGCUCCGGAGGGUCGGUCGGAGGCUGCUUCAGUUACGGUCUCAGAGGAAACCAGUGAACUGACUUCCUGCGCGGCCGAUGGUGGCGAGGACCAAACCAAAAUCAACACGAAGGAGGAGCCAGCAGAGAAGAAGCAGACGAAGAAAAAGAAGAACAAAGGCCUGAAGGCGAACUCGCAAACAGAGGAAUCGCAGGUCAGUGCGACACCCGAUACUGACGCCACGACCGCCGCCGAGAAGACGAAGAAAGGUCUGAAGAAUCUGGAGGAGGUUGAGGUCAACGGCGUGAGCGCAGAGGAAGACGCCACUGCUGAACCCGAGAAGCCGGUUGAUUGUACGACGCCGGGCAAAAAGAAGAGUAAGAAAAAGAAGGCUGAAAAAGCGGCAACGGUUGAAGUAAAACACGCUGAAAUCACGUCAGUUGGCGAGGAAGACGUCACCGCGGCGCCACUCGAAAAGAAGACAAAGAAAAAGUGCAAACAGGAGGUCGCAACACUCGAAGCCUCAUCUGCUGCAACGCCACUGAAGAAUAAAAGGAGAAAGAAUCAGAAAGAGUCGGAAGAGGAUGGCGUGGCGGUGGCGGGAACCCCUCAGGUGGAUGCUGAGGAACUGCCCAUCACCAUGACAACACCAGCAAAGAAGAAGAAAAAGAAGCCGUCGGAAGCCCAGGUGGAGGAGAUCAAUGAUCAGACGGUCGGAUGUGAAGAUAAAACAGACUCUUCCUCCGGGAAGACGGCCAAGAAGAAGAAGAAGAGGAAGAUCCCCGUGACGUUCGAGUUCGAGGCUGAUGAGCUGGAGGCGGCGGCGGCGGUCAACGGCGUCGCAGAAGAAAAAGUGACGACUGUAAAGAAGAAAAAAGUGCUCAGCGUGAGUGUUUAA
rnacentral:lncRNA from 15 species